AAAAACCUGCGAUGUUAGUGGCUUUUCAUUGUCUUUAACCUUUGAUUGUAAUUCGGGAAUCUUAUAUGCCUGUCAGGCUGCCAAGCCUUCAACGCGUAGAGGAAGGCAGUAAAACAGCUGCGGAUACCCACCUGUGAGAACAGGUUCAAAAGACAAUCUAAGCUACGGCAAAGCGGGUUUACU
rnacentral:other from 1 species